AUUGAACGCUAGCGGGAUGCUUUACACAUGCAAGUCGAACGAGUGGCGGACGGGUGAGUAAUAUAUCGGCACGUGCCCAGUAGCGGGCGUUAACUACUCGAAAGAGUUGCUAAUACCGCACUCCAUUGGAUCGGCCGAUUUCGGUUUAGCUAGUUGGUGGGGUCACGGCUCACCAAGGCAACGAUCCGUAGCUGGUUUGAGAGGAUGACCAGCCACACUGGGACUGAGACACGGCCCAGACUCCUACGGGAGGCAGCAGUGGGGAAUUUUGGACAAUGGGGGAAACCCUGAUCCAGCCAUCCCGCGUGUAUGAGAAGGCCUUCGGGUUGUAAAGUACUUUUGGCAGAGAAGCGGUAUCUGCAGAAUAAGCACCGGCUAACUACGUGCCAGCAGCCGCGGUAAUAC
rnacentral:rRNA from 1 species